rnacentral:lncRNA from 1 species
GCUCUAUUAAUUGAUUUCCCCCAAAUGCAUAUACUUAUUUUUAGUUUUCAAGUAGAUAGAUAAGUUAAAAAUCAAAACUGAUGUGAUGACAAAAAAACAUAUUAAUUUUAAGAAUCCACUGGCAGAAAACCUUAUUCUAUUCUAAUGUGAUUUCUCAUUUACUGUUUACUUUGUCAAAUGUUGCCAAACGUAUCACAAAAGAGAAAAUAACUAGAAAUGAAAAGAAAAAUCACAUCAGCAGAAUUUGAAGAGAAAAUGAUAAUUUAAAAAUAGAGAGGUAGAAGAUUUAUGUAAUAUACAGUGAGCUUCCUAUUCAGCCUCUCACCUGAACCCUCAGACAGUCAAGCUGACUUCUAGCAGCUGACCACAUGGAAGUCUUUUGAUGGCCCACUAAGUCUGGAAAAACAUGGGAGAAGAUAUUACAGAAGAGGAUGUUUUAUCAGUUCCUGGUUUCAGUCCUAACAAAUUAUUGGCUAAGGUCAAAUGAUUUUCCAUCACUCUAGCCUUUGGGAACUAAGGUGCCAGAUUCUCUGAAGAGAGCAUUGUCCCAAUAAAGGAAAAUCAUGAAGGCACUGGAUAUUUUAACUGUGGAACAUAAGAGAGAACAGAGAUGGAGUUGUUGGUGCAGAUUUCCAAGGAUGAAGUUGUCUGAGUGCAGCCAAAGCUUUCAGUCAAGAAACAAGGUGCCCCCUACUGAUGAGGAAAAGAUGACAGCACAGAGGAACUAUAUGAUCAAUUCAUCUGGAGCUGGAAUAACCAUGGAUGAAAUAAUUUUCCUCAGAAUGAAAUAAUAAAAAAUAUCCUCAAGCAAAGUUCUCCAAUACCUGAGAACAUUAUUCUCUGAAAAAUAGAGGAUAUUCAAUAAAAGUUCAGAUGGAGGGCUAAGACCAAGAGGAGAGAUUUCUUCUCUAAUUGUUAGAGGACAUUAGUUCAGUGAUUCAGAGACUUGUGGAGAAAGUAAAAGUAUAAAUCUUUAUUUUAAACACCUUUAAAAAUCUGAAAAUAGUUUGGAAAAGUAUUUAUAACUUUUAAGAAAGCCAAGUUGGAAGCAUUCCAGUCUCAUAUGACUGCAGCUCAAAAUAUUCCUAGGUGCUGUCUAGCACCAUCAUAAAGUAUACUUAUGAGGCAAAUAAAGCAUAUAAUUUAAAUCUUAAACAGGAGAAACAAGGCAAGACUCUGUUCUCAUUCUUUGGAAAAGAGCAUUAUUAUUAUACCACAUCAGAAGAUGAGCCCUCUAUAGCACACUUCAUGUUCUCCUGCUGUGUCUUUUCUCCUUACAAUUCCUUCCUCUUCCUUUAUGUUUGAUCCCUUUCCUCUAGAAAUGAUAAGGGACAUAAAUGGUUCAAUAUUUGCGGAAGAAGAAGUGAGAAAGUAUUUCCUUCUCCCCCUUUGCACUAAGUUCUCAUCAAUUACUUUUGGCAAUUUGGUAGCCAGUUUUGAAAAUAACCAGCUGUAUGCUCACUUAGAUAAAUUAAUGCUUCUGUGCCUCACUUUCCUUA